rnacentral:rRNA from 1 species
CGUGAGCAAUCUGCCGUUCUUGUGGGGGAUAGCCGGCCCAACGGCCGGGUAAUACCGCAUACGCUUUUCUGGAGACAUCUCCUAGAAAGGAAACCCUUCGGGGGCAAGACGAGGAGCUCGCGGCCUAUCAGCUAGUUGGUGCGGUCAUGGCGCACCAAGGCGACGACGGGUAGCUGGUCUGAGAGGAUGGCCAGCCACAUUGGGACUGAGAAACGGCCCAG